CUUCCACGUCCGAUCUUCUCACUUAUCCUUCUUACGCUUUAUUCGUACGCUAUCAUUAACCCAGUUACUAUACUACGCACUAAGAGUCUACGCUAGAAGUUAUUUUCUAAAACUAUCAUUUCCGUCAGCCCUCUAAUCGCAUCUUCCAAUCUUUGUUAUUUCUUCCACAACUUGUUCCGUUAUCUUUUUCUUUGCUUAUUCUUUCCAUCUUAACCGCUAAUAUACGAUACAAAUCUUACUUCUUAAUCGUUGCGAUGAAGCAACGAUCGCAAAUCGAAAGUCCGUAUUUUAAUAGCUUUACCGGCUUAGAUACUCGUUUGGACGACUUUCGCGAUUAUUCGUUUCGCGAUGUACGUACGCGGACACGCGUUUACGAGGAAACAUAUAAACGACGUCAUAGUAACAUGUGUGGCGUUUAUGUGUGUGUACGUGUGUGCGUACUUUAUAAUCUCUAAAUAUUUGAUGGGCGGACCGUGCGGCUGCGUUCCCAUCUGCGCCAGUGUCAGCUUCAAUUAUUAAAGCUUUGCCAUAUGUCCUUGCUCUUCCCUACCCCUUGCUCAUCCCUCUUUCUCUCUUUCUCUUAUCCCCCCUCCGUCUAUUCGUGGCUGUAUGUAUGCGCGUGUUCGCGAAGCAUGCGCUCGCAGUCCUGUUUCGUUUUGUCUUCCUCCUCCCUUGAUUCCCUCAGUCGAUAGUCACGUUUUACGCCUGUUGCGAAUCCGUAUCGUUGACUCGAAUCACAAAAGCGCGUAAUUGCGCGAACGACCAACGCAUAUGGAUUUCCCCAUAUGUAUAUACGUACGUACUUAUAUGUAUAUGUAUAUGUAUAUGAUAAGUCUUUCGUCCCUGGAUCGGUAUACGUUCUUGAAAAUCCAAUUCAAACUCUGUCGGAUAACAACGAGAGGAAAUAGGUAAAAAUCGUACUAAUGGGCAAUAUCGAACGCUCCUUGUUCUAUGAUUGGUCGAACGGUUAAUUUCCUACAGAACUUUCGUCGCAGAGGUAUUUCUUAGCCGAUGGCAUGCGAUUUUAUCGUUUCAUUGCCAAUUAGCCUGAAUUUAGAAUACGCGAAUCGAUAACACCAGUUCCCCACCGAUAGAUCGCCUUUUGCCUCUCGAAGCGAACGAUCGGGGGAUCAGGCCCGAUCAGUCCCGAAUUUAGAUUUAGGAUCGUUGAUUACUUCGUGCUGUUCAGCGCGGAAUUAGUUACGUUCAAGAACGGUCGAUCCAUUUUCAAACAUGAUUUUUUCGAAAACUAACUCCGAGACGAACGAACUUCAACGACGAAUCAUCCAAUGACCACUUGUACGCGUUAUUCGAAUCUUAUAUUCGUCAUUACGCUGUUCAUACACUUAUUAUUAAACUACUUACGCGAGAGAACGUUCCACGAGAGAUAGAAUACACGUGUGCGCGGUAUACGUAUAAGGCUACCUGGAGACAGUAAACGAAAAACGUGAAUAACAUUCGAUUGGAAACGUCGAUCGUUUCGCUCGAUUAUCUCCGAGUUAUUUCCGAUGAGUGGCUCUUUCUCACGAUUCGAACGAGUUUCUCUGCGAGUCAAGGUUCGGAAUAUUUACGCUGGAUCGUUGUCGAUGGGUGGAGCGCAGGCAGGUGGCGAUCAUUCCGGCUCUGCGAGCCGUGGCCGUGGACGCAGCGAGGAACGCCACUGUCGGGCCGCGCGUGUCAUCGGUAGGCCGAAUUAUUUCGCGAGGAUCGCGUGGUUCUUCGCACCUGCCGCUGUCAACCGUGAGAAGACGAGAGUGUUCGUCCCGUCGAUGACUCGACUCGACUCGACUCGAUCGGUCGAUCGAUCCCAUUCGACAUCCGCACGUCGAUUUCAUCGUUCUCGAUCAAUUUCGCUUGACUUUCGUUUCUUCUCUUUUCGCGAUCCUCCCCAACGCAUGAAACUUUGACUCGAUAUCUUAGCUCGGAGUUAAUUGACACCUCUGUCGCAGCUGGACAGCUAAUUUCGCUGUAGCAUCAUCGCCGAAGACGAAGGGGCGAUAACGUUCACGUUUACUUUUUGUCGGCUAUCAGGCCGUAUCCGCCGUAUCCGUUUCUGUCGCGUUUCGGAACAGCAUUCAAAGGUUUUCGUUCGUCUUUGGAAUCUGUAUGAAUGACGCGUGCACCUACGUUAUUGCUCAAACGCUAUGUGAACGCUUGCUGCUUACUUCUGACGGAAUGUAAUAUUUAUUUAUUUGUUGUUUACCGCCUGCACAUUCUGUGCUAUAUAACGAUUAGCGUGAAAGUAGAGAAAGUAGAAUACGCCUGAAGGUGUUGGAAAAGGAGAAGAAGCUGAUCUUGUCGCAAUACGAAUUUACGUCUGUAAUGAGCCUAUUAUAUGUAUUACGUUAUACAAUUAUGUUGCCCGCAGCGGGUUGAGUGAAAUUCUUGCCAGAGAAGGGGACAGUGUAUAAUAGUGAGCGGAGAAAUCCGAAGACCGAAUUGCGUUAAAAUUUCGGGGCAGUUUAUUAAGCCGUUUGGUGUUUUAUGUCCAAGGAUAGGUCGUCGAUAGCAGACGUCGACGAUCAGGUAUCCAUAAAUUUAAAGGGUUUAACACUACGACUGAUUGACCAACAAACUGAGGUAUAUUCUGGUCGAAAGGACGAUAGCAAGUAAGAAUAUGGUCUGUGACAGUGAUAUUUAUACGAAAAUAUCGAUGAGCGUUAACCGUUCUCCAUCAACGGUUACUCGAGCGUGGUGUUGGGAAAAACCCGUUUUCCUGUGUUUUAUAGCCAUGAGCAAUAGUCCUAAGAAAUUUCUCGAUUUUUAAAAUGUUUGUAACGGUGGGGCGUAAAAAAUGGUAAAUAUUAUGGAGGUUUCUUAGGAUUAUUAUGGGCCUGAGUCUUGACAGCUGGUGGCCAUCUUGACCGAGGGAUGGAUUAUGUUUUAUAAUAAAAUUACGGAUAUAAUAACUAUUGUUAUUUGUUAUUACUGAUUUUGUUUGUUAUCUGACCUUGAGAUAGCCUUUUCUUUGUACUGAUUGUAUUUAUUUUAAGAAUAACUAAAAUAUUUUGUCGGCUGGUCAAAUUGACCGCUUACGGUACGCAAGGCAAAAUACAAAUUUUUCUUAGAAAAUGAAUAGAGCAAGCUAACAGUAAUUAUCGAAAAAUAUAUUGUAUGCAUGUUUUAGGAAAAGUCCGAAAUUAUGAAGCUGUAUGACAACGUUUGAAUAUGGUUAAAUUUGUGUAGAAGUUCGAGAGCGGUCAAUUUGACCGGCGCUGGUAGGUUUGGUGUUAAUAGCUGAGAAUAAUCGUGUUCAUCGAAGGACAUGGGACGAUCCAAAACGCGUGCCGCUAAUAUUGUUUCAAAAUUACAGAUAAGAAGAUCUAAGAUCGUUUAUGAUAAAAUGAAAUUGAUAAAAUCAUCGAUCGAACGAUAACAUUGAAUUAACAGUCAGAUGAAUUCUUUUGAUCGAUAGAAUUGAACGAUAAAGAGCGGCGUGAUAAAAUUUACUCUUGUAAAUUAGUAUGCAACGAAGAAAUUGGAAUCUGCGAGCGUCGAACAUUAUGCGGCAGAUUUACUCUUUAAGAGGUUCGUUAUUCUCAGCGCGUUUGAGUGUCAAAUUAUACAUACGAUAGGAAGGAAGAUUCUCGUAAAUUGGUAAAAAGGCUACCGUGAUUCUAGCAAUAAUAUUUAAAAUUGAUGAGCACUCUGACGAAUUUUCUGUUUUUUUCUACCAUUUAAUCAAACCAUUUGUGCUUCAUACGAUAUAUACGUUAUGAAUAAAUUUCUUUAAAUGGCUUUAUUUAUGCCUUCAAGGUUCUGAGGUAAGCGCUGAGCUGUUCGACUCAUUCCUCUUGCCAGAAGGUUCGUCACCUCCCCCACUCCUUGGCCAGAUCCUUCCAGGGCAUUCUUAUCAUCUUACACGCGCUGUAGAGCACUGUGACGUCGGGUCAUCGGCUACACGUGCGUUCCUGGGAACUUCGAAACUGUAACGUUCGCGUCUCUUAGAAUUUGUCAACCAAAACUUUGCACACAUUGCACACAUCUGUGACAGAGCUCGUCGGCAAACCAAAAUUAAUGGCAUUGGCAGCCCGAUGGCUUUCGAAAGGCCUUGAUAGGUGCAGUUGCUCCUACGGAGUUCCGGAAAAAAAAUCGAUCGAAGGUGCCCACGUAUUCACGAGUUGCGGUGUAUGCACGUGGUUUCGAAGGCUCCGCGUCGUAACUCGUAGCCGUUCGAAUCCGAAGGGACAUCGACGAAAACUCGGAUCGGAUAAUCGUCCUUUAAACGCUUUCUCGAGGUCCGAGACACGGUCUCGCUCGAUUGGUUCGGAACGAAGCGAAGAGGCGGAGGAUUUCUGAAAUUGCUUGACGAACGCUGCGAACGUAAACGGUAGCAGAGUGAAGAUUCGCAAGAAAAACUAUGGACAAGAACAAGACAAGGAGAUGGGAAGAUGCGGAGUUUCGACGAUUCGAACAGGGGGUUGUUGGUAUCGAGGUGGAAAGCGAAAAAGUUAUGUCGCGGCGGCGACGGAACGCAAUACAGGGAAAGAGCAUUGCCGGAACUCAACAGGUUUCUAACGCUUGAACGGUUUGAAAAUCGGUAUUCGUUAGAAUAGACGGCAGGAAGGAAGGAUGAGUGGAACAGGUGCAAGAAAAAUGCGGAUGGGUUUAAGGUAUCGGUUACAAAGCUCAGCAAGAGUCGACUGUUUGCGAGGCCGAGUCGCAUCAAGACUGUAUUCUUCGUCGAGGAAAAUUUACGAAUGCCAAGAGCGCGGGUGGUGCCAGGGCGUGAGCGAGCGUAACGAGUUCCUUGGCGCAGGUUUGAUUUAUGCCAGGUCGUAAGGAAAGAAAGCGACCCCUCACCUGCCGAGAGCUAUUCGCCGACCGACGAUGUUCCAACCUAACGAUGACCUGACGUUUUUCUUCCCUUCGCUCUGUGUUUUCCAAACGAUGUACGUUCGAUCUCGACUGGCCGAUUCCUUUUUUGUUGCCCAUGUGGCGUAGCUACGGUAUAGCGACUGUCGUGUCCUUGACGGAAAGCACCAAGAAGCAUCGUGAAGCAUCAAGAAGCAUCAAGGAGCAUCGUGAAGCAUCGUGAAGCAUCGAGAAUCAUCGAACGGGGAAAAUCGUAUUCUCGAUUGAGUAUUUCGGAGAGCCUUAACCCGUCACCAACUAUACAGGUGUCUUUGGACCGCUCGAGGUAAUAAUGCCGGUAUAACCGAACAACUGUUCGAUGACCCAGGUGGUAGAGGAAUUGUAUAGGAUGACACCGAUACUCCAAAUACGGCAGACGACCAACAGAGUCAUUGUUCACGCUGUAACCGAUACCCUCAGCUUCCGAGAACGGAUCGAUCUUCUCUACCUGUACGUACUUCUGUCCGCGUAAUUACCUGGCCUUUGCCCGCAUCUUUGUCUUUGUAUCCUGACGCGCCCACGUGAUGCUCGGCAUUCUUCGUCUCACGCUAUUCGUUCCUCGAUUCGCCUCGUACGUUUUUGGCAAACGACAACGUGGAAAGACACAGCGAUCGAAACUGCAGGGGAACGCGCGCAAACAAUCGUCUUUAUCAUCGUAACUAUGAAACGAGAUAUUGUUUCAGAUUCUGUCACUAACCGCCGCAGCUCGUCUCUGCCCAAACGUUUUUUCGGAAUAUCGGAGAUCGAUGCAGGAUUUAAUAACAAUCACAAUGGAACAGUCUUUUCGUCUAGCGAAACGAAUUCCUGCGGAUGAUCGAUGGUGAUUACGUUGCUUUGUUUUCGUACUUGUUUCUUCUCGGGAUUGUUCCACGGUUGUAACUGACCGCUACCAAAAAUGGUAAACGUGAGUGCGCCAAGACAAUAAAUCCAC